CCCGCAUGAUGAUAUCAUGGCAAGUUUUAUGAUCCAGUCAGACCAAGAGAUUAUGGUCUCUAGCCUGCUGUUAGAUGGGUAGUCUUGGUAGUGUGGUGGAGUUUUACUACACUGCUGUAAGGGCCCAACAACAGUCAACUUGUCACCUUCUUCAACCUCUGCCCCCCAAAGAGCAAUGGGACAGGGCAGGAAGGAGAUGUCAGAUAAUGUGUGGAUGUUUGUUUGUCCUUGUGUGUGUUCUUGUAUGAAUGUUUAUGUAUCAGCUGGCAAGAGGCUAUAGUCUCAAUAAAGUUGGUUUGGCACAUAUGAACUACAGUCUUUGGUAACCUGAGGGC